rnacentral:rRNA from 1 species
CCUACGGGAGGCAGCAGUGAGGAAUAUUGGUCAAUGGCCGGAAGGCUGAACCAGCCAAGCCGCGUGAAGGACGAAGGUGCCAAGCAUUGUAAACUUCUUUUGUCAAGGGGCAAAGUCCGGCUCGAGAGCCUGACCGAGGGUACUUGAAGAAAAAGCAUCGGCUAACUCCGUGCCAGCAGCCGCGGUAAUACGGAGGAUGCGAGCGUUAUCCGGAUUUAUUGGGUUUAAAGGGUGCGUAGGCGGACUGUUAAGUCAGCGGUAAAAGUCCGGGGCGCAACCUCGGCGAGCCGUUGAAACUGGCUGUCUUGAGAGGGCGAGAGGUACGCGGAAUGCGUAGUGUAGCGGUGAAAUGCUUAGAUAUUGCGCAGAACUCCGAUUGCGAAGGCAGCAUACCGGCGGCGAUCUGACGCUGAGGCACGAAAGCGUGGGUAUCGAACAGUAUUAGAUACCCCAGUAGUC